rnacentral:rRNA from 1 species
CCUACGGGAGGCAGCAGUAGGGAAUCUUCCACAAUGGACGCAAGUCUGAUGGAGCAACGCCGCGUGAGUGAAGAAGGUCUUCGGAUCGUAAAACUCUGUUGUUAGAGAAGAACACGAGUGAGAGUAACUGUUCAUUCGAUGACGGUAUCUAACCAGCAAGUCACGGCUAACUACGUGCCAGCAGCCGCGGUAAUACGUAGGUGGCAAGCG